rnacentral:lncRNA from 1 species
AUGGCCAGAAAGGGGGUUCCAAGCCAAGCAAAGUCCCAGGAAGGCAAGAAUGGACUGAAGCCAGAAACAGCAGGCAGACAGCACAAAGGACUCCCUCGGGAUACAGGAAGGGGAGGACGGUUGCUGACCCAGAGCCCUACCUCAGCCGGGGAGCUCCUCCGUCAAGCUGCUGGUACAGUCCAGGGCUCCGGGCCACCCUGGGGGCAAUGGGGUUGUAGCCAAGUCCUCAGAGGACCAUGUCAGCAUGGCUCCAAGGCCGGGCAAUCAGGUUGGCCAGUGUCAGACCCUGAACUCAACGAUGCUUGCAAAUCCCAGACAGACGCUCAGCCUACCUCCCAGGGGAUGACGAAGCCAGAUGCGCGGCCAGCAUUUUUCCAGUAGUUGAGGGCGAGUUCCUUUGCCGGUAGUGAAAUAUCUUGGACUUGGGGGUCCCAAGAGCUUCUCGGAUGUGGACUCCGAGCUCUGCUCUCCUGCCUCUCCCCUCCCUUAGAAGUUGGUCCUGCGGCUUCAACCCAGACGACGCCGAACAGCUGUGUACUAGACAGACUCAGCUUCCUGCGGUUCCAGCUAGGUCCCUCUACAGUAGUCAGAGCCUCGCUCCAUCCAGGCUCAACGCUCCUCCUCUUCCACUCUCAGCACCUCCUCCCCUCUCAGGCUCGUCCCCCAUCCCCCGCCUCCUGGCCCCUGUCAGACCCCGCCCUCUAGGCUCAGCAACCCUCCAAGGCAGGCCCCGCCCUACCCAGGCAACCGCACUCGGCCGUCGCAGGCAGGCCCUGCACCUCCCGGGCAUGCUUCACCCCUCCCGGACUUAGCACUCCGUCCUCUCCCAGGCAGGUCUGGUCGCACCCAGGUUUAGCACGGUGUUCCUACAGUCACUCCCCACCCUCCUCCGUGCCUGGUGGGUCUUCCACCUGCAGGGUGUGUGUGUGUGUAGGGGUUCUGGAUCAGAGCCAGGUGAAGCACACAGACACCAGCGGGAGGCUGGCAAAUCCACUGGGCUGGCUGUGAUAUUCUUACCGGUACCAGGGGCGUGGCCAACAGGGACCAAUCCUACAACUGUCAUCCCCCAUUCAGGUACAAAUUUAUGCUCAUACUAAAAUAAUCUUGACGUGAGAUUUGCUCGGGCUCCUUUUGGGGCCCCAGGGAGAAAACCUACUACUUUUCUGCUUAAUCAGCAUAACAAUAAACCGACUCCUACUGA